UACGUAGGGUGCAAGCGUUAAUCGGAAUUACUGGGCGUAAAGCGUGCGCAGGCGGUCUGUUAAGACCGAUGUGAAAUCCCGGGCUUAACCCUGGGAACUGCAUUGGUGACUGGCGGGCUAGAGUAUGGCAGAGGGGGGUAGAAGUUCCACGUGUAGCAGUGAAAUGCGUAGAGAUGUGGAGGAAUACCGAUGGCGAAGGCAGCCCCCUGG
rnacentral:rRNA from 1 species